UGCCUUAGUAACGGCGAGUGAAGCGGCAAAAGCUCAAAUUUGAAAUCUGGUACCUUCGGUGCCCGAGUUGUAAUUUGGAGAGGGCAACUUUGGGGCCGUUCCUUGUCUAUGUUCCUUGGAACAGGACGUCAUAGAGGGUGAGAAUCCCGUGUGGCGAGGAGUGCGGUUCUUUGUAAAGUGCCUUCGAAGAGUCGAGUUGUUUGGGAAUGCAGCUCUAAGUGGGUGGUAAAUUCCAUCUAAAGCUAAAUAUUGGCGAGAGACCGAUAGCGAACAAGUACAGUGAUGGAAAGAUGAAAAGAACUUUGAAAAGAGAGUGAAAAAGUACGUGAAAUUGUUGAAAGGGAAGGGCAUUUGAUCAGACAUGGUGUUUUGUGCCCUCUGCUCCUUGUGGGUAGGGGAAUCUCGCAUUUCACUGGGCCAGCAUCAGUUUUGGUGGCAGGAUAAAUCCAUAGGAAUGUAGCUUGCCUCGGUAAGUAUUAUAGCCUGUGGGAAUACUGCCAGCUGGGACUGAGGACUGCGACGUAAGUCAAGGAUGCUGGCAUAAUGGUUAUAUGCC
rnacentral:rRNA from 2 species